UUUGAUUUUCCUGAUUUUUUUGUGUUUCAUUUUUUUAACCUGACUAUGUAGCAAGAAUAUUAGAAAUAAAAUUUAGGAGAGGAUAGACAAUCCUUGGGUGUAUGGAGACAGGGAAUGGCUCCCGGCAGCUGAAUAAAUAGCAUGCAUGUAUCUGGCUUUCUGGGCCCUACCCAAGCCUUUUUACAACUACCAGGUGUUUUAUAGACACAUUUUUCUAUGAAGUAGUCAAACUGUAAACAGCAUGAAUCCUGAAUGAUAAUCGUGUCUUAAUAAUAAUAAAAGAAAGAAAAUAAGAGACAAGCAUCACGAUUUUCCCAAUUGAAAUGUCUUUUGGUUUUGCCUUUGGUGGCACAGGGUCAAGGGUGUGGGGGCAUUUGUGUGGCAUUCACUAUUCUUUCAACCUGUCCUGAUUAUGGAACCCUUUAAGGUCCGUCCACUUGGAACCACGGUGCUCUGAGAGGACGCUGAACUCACAGCAGCCCACACACAAUUCCAGUGAUACUACUGCAAUGUUUUGUACACAGAAUCUUAGGUUUGUUGGGUAAAUGUAGCAUCAUAUUUUGUUUUAGCAAUUUGUGAACAGUCUUGCUUCUCUUCACACUUAUAAGCUCAUCAGGCUAAGGAUUAAAUCGUAUGCACCCAAAUACCUCUUAGUAUACAAACGUCUGCACUCAGUAGCGUUUCUGGCUGAGCAGGUGGAAGAAGGGCCACGUUCGCCAAUGUCAUGAGGGGCCAGCAUCUUUAACCUUCACGCCCACAUCACCAGCCUUGCCUUCUUCACAACAGAAAUGUUGUCCCACUUCCUUUCCAGGUCUCUCAGAUUCAUGGUACGAGUUGGAAAGAGACCUGAGAGAUUAUUUAGGCUAAACGUUUCAUUUUAUAAAUGACAAAAUUAGGGUUGAGCAAAAUGUGGUGAUUUUGUCUGUGCAAAGCCAAGAAAAAAAAUUAGAGCCUCUUAAAAGUCAUUUUUCCCCUGAAAUAAAGUAUCUUCAUUUCACUGUUAAAUAUAUGUCCUCAUGUAGUUGCUAUAAUCAACCACUUCUCAAGAAAACUCUAAAAGCUGUAUUUCCCAUAUGACACAUUUCAGAAUAUUACAUAAGAAGCUCUCACCAAGACACCAAGGUAAAAUAUAUAUGACAAGCCAAAGACAGGUGCCAUAAAAAAAUAAGAAAUCUUCAAAGGGGAAAGAAAUUCCAAAAGUGGCAACAUGACACCACUCAUUCUCUGCCUACUUUCGAGGUAAGACGAUGUUGAAGUUCUGAGGGGGCUCAGUAAAUAACACCUCUCUUCCCCCUCCAGGUCCUGCACAAAUUGAAAACAUAAAAGGUAGCAGAUGGACUCAAAUGCCACCUUCAUGACUGAGGUGCCAAGCUGGAGGGCAGGAGUUGCCCUCUGGUCCUGGUUUAGGCUGACCUUCUGAACGGGGCCUGAGGGCAGGACCACACGGGCAGGGAUCAGAAAGGAGCUGGAGGAGAGCUCAGAAGGGAGGGCGGGCCCAGCUCUCUUGGCGGCCAAGGAAAAAGCCUGGCAUGUUAGAGCUGGUGCAGGACUCUCCAGGGUGACCGAGCCACCCAGAAGAGGGAAAAGCCAUUCUCCAUAACAAAAAGUCAGGACCGGCUGAAAGCCCCUCCCAGCCCUCCACCCUCCUUCGGCGGGGCUUCUUUCUGAGCUUUGCCCCAUCCCUGCCCCGUGCUGGUGACUGGUGUUUGGCUCCCUCCUAGAGAAAGAGAUGGGCCUGGGUUGGUUGAGAGAGAAAGAGAGAGAAAGGGAGAGACAGAGAGAAGGCUUAGCUCUUGUCCAACAGGGCCACCUAGAGGGACUCUCAGGCUUGAGCGGGAGAAGCAGAGUUUUGAGGCAGAGCUGAUCAAGGGAACCUCAACAAACAACCCCAGCCAUGGAGGCGGCGGUGUCUUUGAAGACCCCAUGAGAGCAUCAAACAAGGGAGAGAGCCUGGAACAAAUCAUGGUAGUAAAAUGGCGGCAGAGAGCUAGUAAUGUGUCUGCAAUUGGUGGGUUCUUGGUCGCACUGACUUCAAGAAUGAAGCCGCGGACCCUCACGGUGGUGUCUUUGGUGGCUGUUCACCCUUCCACAGUAAACAUGCUUGGGAAGCAACUUUGCCAAAAGCCUUCGGACAGUCCAGCGUCAACACCGCAAGCCAAGUGGAGGAGAAAAAUCUGCGCCUCUUUCUCUCAAGGGAUACUUUGUCUCUGGGGUACUUUCUGACCCAGUGGACCCCUGGCAGAAGUAAGCGUGGACUGUGGCUGCAGGACCACGCAGAGUCAACACGAACCGAAGCCAGGCCUUGGCCACGGCAGCUCUGGGGUCCAACCACUUGAUCAAUGCAGGAAAUGCUUUGAUGGCAGAAUUCUUCCAUGGCCAGCUUCUCAUAUUCUCUGGGACAGACACAAACCAAGAAAAAUGAGUGUGGCGCAGAAUCUGAUGUGUCCUUCCUUACCCCGUGCUGGUAGCAAAAAGUAUGUCUUGAACUUUUCUUUGUUACACACAGUCUGGGUAAUAACAGACUGAAGGAAAACUAAAGAAGCUUGGGAGGCUAAGUUCAAUGACAAAUGAAGAACUAAGGCAGAGAAAAAAGAGAAUUGAGAAAGUGUCUGGGUGUCUGGAGAGGUUGGGGGAAUAGAGAGGGAGGAGAUAUAAUUGGCCAGAUAACUUGAGAGUGGGAGAGGAGUGCAAACAUUAUUUUUGAGGCGCUUUGUUGGAUAUUUAAAAUGCACUCCUACCUUUGGCAUUUUCUCAAAAGGCAAGAAAGAUUUGUUUUCAAUUCUAUUUUUCUGCUGGACUGAACCAGUGCCAAGACUGGACCAUGUAGGAUCCUGGGUUUAUUUCAGUUACAUAAGCAAACGUUGCUGUGAUUUGGAAUAGUCAAAGUCAUGAAUGUUUCUCAACUUCCAUUUUGUCAGCUGCUUGAGUUUCUAUUCUGAGAGGUGCUAACUGUGAACAUUGUUAUUCACUUGUGUUCCCUAAAUCACUUUUAAUUAGUUUUAAUUUGAACCAAGAAUGUUCUACUGUUGAAACUAUGUCAAGAAUGAUCAAAAAUGAAAUUAAUAAAGAAUUCGCGUCAAAAAAAAUUUGCACUAAUAUUACAGUAUUUUAUAAUGUCUAUCUCAGCAGAGUCACAGAUAAUUUAGAAUUUUUAAUUUUGUUUUUAAGUGAUUUUCCUCAAAGCUAUAAUAGCCUUGGUAAAGAGUUUAGUUAAACAUUAUUUUUCACCUCUCACGCAUUUUGUGUAAUGAAAUUUUUCUAUCAUCUUCCAGUGGAAUUAAUUGCAUUGGUGCAAAAAAUGCAAUCAAAUCGAUGACUGAAUUUAGCCUUUGAAACCUCACGUCUAGCUGGGAUAGUUACUAUAUUCAUUACAUACUGAAAAAUGAUAAGCAGUAAGCUUUUCUGCUAAAAAACUGCCAAAGAUAAGUUUUUCAAGGCUCUCAAAAUAUCCUAAAGCUGACAAUACAAGAAAUGUUAAAAUAUUGUUGGAAUUUUUAACGGAAUCUUCCUUCUCUUCUUUUCCUGUUUAAGACAAUAGUAGUUAGUUGUCCACUAAUCGUUAAUACACGAUUUUCUAACAAAGACUUGCAUAUCCUUUUGGCUAAAAAGUGGCCAAAUAUCAGAGAGCUAGAAGUUUGGGAGACAGCCUUUAGUCUUUUCCAAAGCAUGUAAGCCCUUUUGAAUCAUUUUGGGUAAAUGGCGAAGAUUAAACAGAAUUCAUAAAGGGUUUCUGAUACAUAAGUGGAAUGUGCCUGUGAGGACACUACACAUGACAAUAAUCUAAGCAUGCUCUCUUUUAGUCCCAAAACGUGUAGAGUAAUGUCACAUGAAAUUUACAGGAGGCCAUUGACUUGGACUGAGCUCCUGCACCAGGCCUAACAGACCAAACCAAAAUGGAGUCACUCAUGCUGAAGUUCACACCACCAAGCCAAAACUGAGUUGUUUAUCCGAUCUUCCAAGAAAUCAAGAAAGACAGGGAGAUAACAGCCCAAUCCCCAAACAGGCCAGUUUUUGCUGGCAUGAUAGGAAGGCCCCUCUGCUUCAAACUUUCCAAAGAAAGUAACUUGGAAACAACCAAUCUGCUUUUUGUUCUCCGUUUCUGCUUUCCUCAACCAUUUUCUGACCAUAAAACCAACAUCCUUUGCUCGGCUCAUGGGAACAUUCAUUCUAUUUUGUAGAAUGAGGUGUUGCCCGAUAUUCUAGAUUUGCAAAUAAAAGCCAAUUAAGAUCUUUAAAUUAAAUCUGUUGUAACUUUGUCUUUUGACACUAAUAAAUGCACGAACAGGUUUCUUUAGAGAAAGCCCGUGAUAUGCAGGGUAUGUUUGACAAGUGCUGUGGUCAAAUGUGAUACUGUUUACAUUCUCAUUUUCAUAAUUUUCUUAAGUACUAUGUAAUUUGGUCUUGGGAAUGCUUCGCUAAUUACGGGUGAGGAGGAUGGGCCUUGUAUGUGACAGAAUGAUUUAGUGUUCUGUAGUUCAGUGGAAAGAGUGUAGAUGUGUUGAAUAUUUAUGACGUUUUACCUUCUCUCUUUGUUACAGAGGCCUUACAACAAAUUAAAACAUGUGUGUCAGCUCCCUAAUUAUCUAGCUAGACUUUUAAAGAUUGGCUAGUUAAGGCUGAAUUUUAUUCAAGCACUACUUCAUCUGUCAUACUAUUUUAAGUACAUUAGCCUUGUUAGCCUAUUAUAUGGCCAUGAUCAGUACUGUUUAAAUUGCCAACUUCUACAAGUCCCUUCUGUGUGCUCUGGCUCAAUCAAUGCAUUAGUGGUACUAGCUUAGUUUUGUCACAGUUCUGGGCACAUUGGCAGUCCCCGGGUGGGAGGCCUGGAGCUCCUGAGUAAACAUAGUGCAUCUGCCUGGAGCUUCAAUUUUACUUGAGGAUUUGGAAAAAUAUAAAUUAAUCGAUUUAACCAUUUAUUUAAUGUGCUCCAAUUCUUUAUUUAAUUGGCUGCAAAGCAAACAAAAUUAUGCAUUAGCUAUGUUAUGACUAAAACCCAAAUGUUGUUGAAUACUUUCAG
rnacentral:lncRNA from 10 species